UAUGCUCUAUACGUUCAAAAAUAUUUAGAGGUUUAUGUUGAUGGUGUUUGGUGUCUCAGUUAACUGCAGAUAAUGACGAAGUUAAUUUAAAUUUCAGUCAGUGAUGCUUUGCGCUAGGCGUUUUUAAGAUUUAAUUCUAUAUAUUAUUCAAGUAUUAUUAAAUUAAUAAUUCACCGGUUCAUAAAAAUUUAUAUAAUACGCAUUUAAUAACCUAAUAUCUAAAAAUGGCCGAUAAAUUCGUUGAGAAUUCAGAGGAAGAUAACUCCGUUACAAUGCUCGAUGUUCUCCAGGAAGAAAGUCAAUUGGAAGAAGAUGCAUAUGCAGUCUUAGGUGCAUCCGAUGAUAGAAAUUGUACUUAUAACAAGGGAUAUAUUAGACAGGCACUAUAUGCCUGCAAAACAUGCAGUUCGCAAAAGAAUAUACGUGCAGGUGUUUGUCUAGCAUGCAGUUUUCAUUGUCACGAAGGACACGAGCUUGUUGAAUUAUAUACUAAAAGAAAUUUUAGAUGUGAUUGUGGAAAUUCUAAAUUUGGAAACAAGGAAUGCAAUUUGGAGAAGUCCAAAAGUACAAUGAAUAUUGAAAAUAUGUAUAAUCAAAAUUUUGAUGGCGUUUAUUGUACUUGUGCAAGACCAUAUCCAGAUCCUGAAAAUGAAAACAAUGAUGAAAUGUUACAAUGUAUAAUAUGUGAAGAUUGGUAUCAUUCUAAGCAUCUUGGGAGCAAAGAUGUACCAGGGGGUGACUCAUAUGAAGAAGUGAUAUGUGCUGAUUGCAUGAAAAAACAUGACUUUCUUUGGAGAUAUGCUACAAAAUAUUCAACAAUGCAAAAUUCUACUAUAUCAUCUGAAAAGGGGGAAGAAAUAUUGAAUGUUGAAAAUCUUCCAAAUGGUUGUACAAUGCCACAAAAAAGUUUAUCAGGUGUAACAGGUAGCUGUUUUUGGUUAGAAGGAUGGAGAACUUCUCUAUGUAGUUGUGAAUCAUGUAAAAAGAUAUAUAAAGAACAAGAUAUAUUAUAUUUAUUGGAUCCAAAAGAUAGUGUGCAGGCUUAUGAGGAAGCAGGUAAAAUAACUAAGCGAGAAUCACAGUAUGAAAAAGGUAUGAAGGCUCUUGCAUCUUUGGAUCAUGUACAGCAAUUAACUGCAAUUGAAGAAUACAACAAUUUGAAAGAGAGACUAAAGGAGUAUUUACAAAAAUUUGCGGAAAAUAAAAAAGUCGUUCGAGAGGAAGACAUUAAAGAAUUUUUUUCAGAAAUGGAGUCAAAGAAACGUCCGAAAGUUGUAGUCCCAACGUAUUGUCGUUAAAAUGAAAUAUUUCUCUUGUAAAGAUUAAGUCAACAAGAUUUUUAACAUUCUAAUUAAACACAAUUUUAUUUUCUUUAUUUUGAAGAGUAUCAUAGAGAUAUUAUCAUACCAAUAAGUGUAGUAUGAUUUUAUCCAUGUAAUUUUUAAUCAUAUCGAUCGAACAAUGAGGAAAGCAAUAACAAAAUCGCCUAAUAGCUAACAAUAAAAAGGUUAUCCUUUCAAAAUCUAUAAAAUUUUUAGAUAUGGAUAAAAAAAAAAAAGCAUAAAAAGUAAUAUUCUGAAAUAUGCCAUAGGACGAAUGAAGAAAAAGCAAGAUUAAUAAAUAAUGAACAUAGUC